AUGCUCAAAACCCCUGAUGGUUCCAGCGGGCACUUUCCCCUUUCGUGUUCAGAGCCACCCUCUCAGCAAACCUUCCAAAGCCCUGCCCUUGAAUGUGGGGCAUGUUUCCCCAGCUGCCGUGAAACACAGUCCCUCCUACUUUUUGAAAACUGGGUAAAUGCCGGAGCAUCCGCUUGUGCACGGGCUCUCUUGCGAGACUUUAUUGAAAUGGACCUGCUUUACACGCUGCCCGCCUCGGCUGCAUGGCCAAGCCGCUCCCUCCCGCUCACAGACGUGCUUCUUCAUGCUCUCUGCCGUCGCGGCUGUUACGGGACUUUGGACAGAGUUCCCUGGGCGCUACAGCAGGACCCCAGGGCUUAUCCACACUACAAACAACAGCCUGCAUCUACCAACCCCAAACUCCCCAUCCAUCCCGCUCCCUGCCCCUGGGCAGCCACACGUCUGGUCCCCACGGCCCGCGUCUGCUGCUGCUCCGUAGGCAGGUUCAUCCGCGCCCUGUUUGAGAUUCCGCUGGACGCGAUGUCACAUGGGGUCUGUCUUUCUGUCGGACUUACUUCGCUCAGCAUGAGACUCUCCAGGCCCAGCUGUGUUGCUGCCAAUGACGUUACUUUGCUCUUAUCUGCCGGCCCGAGGCUCCGCCCGUCUUGGGGUCCAGCAGGAGCGAGACCCGCAGCCUCGUCAGUGGGUUUUCCAGGGGCCUCGGGGCUCAGACCGGGAGACCCAGCUUCAUUUGCAACCCUUAGGACCCCAAGGGCCGCUGGUCCCUGUGGACUUGGUUCCACCUGGGGGAGCCCCUGGGUAAUGAAAGCUGCGCUGGCUGAGAGCCGCUGGGGUGCGGCCUUGCUCAUCUCGCUGUGUCUGGACGGCGGUUCGAGGCAGCGCUGCCUUGAGGAUGCUGAGAAAACGCCCAGGAGGCCAAUACGCAUUGGGCACUCAGCCCACAGGCUCUUAUGUCGCUGUUCAGAGCCCUGGGCCACCAGAGCUGAAAACGAGAACGGCCCUCAGACGUGUCUGAGGACCAAGGGGCGUCCAGCACAGGGACGGGACAGAUGCUCAGGAAAGCAGGUUCCUGGGCCUCAGGAACCAGGCUGUGAAGACACAGCCCAGCGUUCAGCCAUAAACACCGAAUCUUGGAGUUCCUGUCGUGGCGCAGUGGUUAACGAGUCCUACUGGGAACCAUGA
rnacentral:lncRNA from 1 species